UACGGGGGGGGCAAGCGUUGUUCGGAAUUACUGGGCGUAAAGGGCGCGUAGGCGGGUGCUCAAGUCCGGGGUGAAAUCCUCCAGCUCAACUGGAGAACUGCCUCGGAUACUGGGUGUCUCGAGGGUGGUAGGGGUAUGCGGAACUAUCGGUGGAGCGGUGAAAUGCGUUGAUAUCGAUAGGAACUCCGGUGGCGAAGGCGGCAUACUGGACCACAUCUGACGCUGAGGCGCGAAAGCCAGGGGAGCAAACGGG
rnacentral:rRNA from 1 species